GACGAACGCUGGCGGCGUGCCUAAUACAUGCAAGUCGAACGCAGUGGGGACGGGUGAGUAACACGUGGGUAACCUCCCAUCAGAGGGGAUAACACUUGGAAACAGGUGCUAAACCGAUACUGAUGGAUGGACCCGCGGUGCAUGACCUAGUUGGUGAGGUAACGGCUCACCAAGGCCACGAUGCAUAGCCGACCUGAGAGGUGUAUCGGCCACACUGGGACUGGAACACGGCCCAGCCACCAACGGUAGGCAGCAGUAGGGAAGCUUCGGAAAUGGACGAAAGUCUGACCGAGCAACGCCGCGUGAGUGAAGAAGGUUUGCGGAUCGUAAAACUCUGUUGUUAGAGAAGCGGUAUCUAACCAGAAAGCCACGGCUAACUACGUGCCAGCCGCCGCGGUAAUUC
rnacentral:rRNA from 1 species